rnacentral:rRNA from 1 species
UGGGGAAUUUUGGACAAUGGGCGAAAGCCUGAUCCAGCAAUGCCGCGUGUGUGAAGAAGGCCUUCGGGUUGUAAAGCACUUUUGUCCGGAAAGAAAUCCUUGGCUCUAAUACAGUCGGGGGAUGACGGUACCGGAAGAAUAAGCACCGGCUAACUACGUGCCAGCAGCCGCGGUAAUACGUAGGGUGCAAGCGUUAAUCGGAAUUACUGGGCGUAAAGCGUGCGCAGGCGGUUUGCUAAGACCGAUGUGAAAUCCCCGGGCUCAACCUGGGAACUGCAUUGGUGACUGGCAGGCUAGAGUAUGGCAGAGGGGGGUAGAAUUCCACGUGUAGCAGUGAGAUGCGUAGAGAUGUGGAGGAAUACCGAUGGCGAAGGCAGCCCCCUGGGCCAAUACUGACGCUCAUGCACGAAAGCGUGGGGAGCAAACAGGAUUAGAUACCCUGGUAGUCCACGCCCUAAACGAUGUCAACUAGUUGUUGGGGAUUCAUUUCCUUAGUAACGUAGCUAACGCGUGAAGUUGACCGCCUGGGGAGUACGGUCGCAAGAUUAAAACUCAAAUGAAUUGACGGGGUCAUAGCUGUUUCCU